rnacentral:misc_RNA from 1 species
CAUAUGCCGAGAGGUGAAAUGAAUUUCGCCUGAGGAUGAGCUCGCGUCUGAUUAGCUAGUUGGUGAGGUAAGGGCUCACCAAGGCUUCGAUCAGUAGCUGGUCUGAGAGGAUGAUCAGCCACACUGGGACUGAGACACGGCCCAGACUCCUACGGGAGGCAGCAGUGGGGAAUUUUCCGCAAUGGGCGCAAGCCUGACGGAGCAACGCCGCGUGAGGGAUGAAGGCCUCUGGGCUGUAAACCUCUUUUAUCAAGGAAGAAGAUCUGACGGUACUUGAUGAAUAAGCCACGGCUAAUUCCGUGCCAGCAGCCGCGGUAAUACGGGAGUGGCAAGCGUUAUCCGGAAUUAUUGGGCGUAAAGCGUCCGCAGGCGGUUUUGAAAGUCUGUUGUUAAAGCGUGGAGCUUAACUCCAUUUCAGCAAUGGAAACUACAAGACUAGAGUGUGGUAGGGGCAGAGGGAAUUCCCGGUGUAGCGGUGAAAUGCGUAGAUAUCGGGAAGAACACCAGUGGCGAAGGCGCUCUGCUGGGCCAUAACUGACGCUCAUGGACGAAAGCCAGGGGAGCGAAAGGGAUUAGAUACCCCUGUAGUCCUGGCCGUAAACGAUGAACACUAGGUGUCGGGGGAAUCGACCCCCUCGGUGUCGUAGCCAACGCGUUAAGUGUUCCGCCUGGGGAGUACGCACGCAAGUGUGAAACUCAAAGGAAUUGACGGGGGCCCGCACAAGCGGUGGAGUAUGUGGUUUAAUUCGAUGCAACGCGAAGAACCUUACCAGGGUUUGACAUCCUGCGAAUCCCUUGGAAACUUGGGAGUGCCUUCGGGAACGCAGUGACAGGUGGUGCAUGGCUGUCGUCAGCUCGUGUCGUGAGAUGUUGGGUUAAGUCCCGCAACGAGCGCAACCCACGUCUUUAGUUGCCAGCAUUCAGUUGGGCACUCUAGAGAGACCGCCGGUGAUAAACCGGAGGAAGGUGUGGAUGACGUCAAGUCAUCAUGCCCCUUACAUCCUGGGCUACACACGUACUACAAUGCUACGGACAAAGGGCAGCAAACUCGCGAGAGCUAGCAAAUCCCAUAAACCGUGGCUCAGUUCAGAUCGUAGGCUGCAACUCGCCUACGCGAAGGAGGAAUCGCUAGUAAUCGCAGGUCAGCAUACUGCGGUGAAUACGUUCCCGGGCCUUGUACACACCGCCCGUCACACCAUGGAAGUUGGCCACGCCCGAAGUCGUUACUCCAACCCUUGUGGAGGAGGAUGCCGAAGGUGGGGCUGAUGACUGGGGUGAAGUCGUAACAAGGUAGCCGUACCGGAAGGUGCGGCUGGAUCACCUCCUAACAGGGAGACAAUACCUGAUUGUGAUGUCUGAGUACUUUAUUCUCAGGCCAUGAUCCUGUCAUCUCGAAGGUCGAUCGGUGCCUCAAUUUGAGGGUAAGAGAAAAGCUGAGUGAUCAACUUAGAGACUUACGAUUCAAUUUCAGUUCCUAAACUUUGUCUAGGUCACCCCACGGGGCCGUCAGCUUUGCUUGAAGCGGAAUGCUUUGAGUGGAGUGAUGACGCUACUGAGUGGUAGCAGCUCCUGGGCCAUUAGCUCAGGUGGUUAGAGCGCACCCCUGAUAAGGGUGAGGUCCCUGGUUCAAGUCCAGGAUGGCCCAUUCAUCGCCUGCUGAACAGGCAGGACCUGGUGGCUGGGGGUUUAGCUCAGUUGGUAGAGCGCCUGCUUUGCAAGCAGGAUGUCAGCGGUUCGAGUCCGCUAACCUCCAUCCAAUGAUAAGCUCUGCCCUCGGACCAUGCACAUUGUCAAAGAUGUGUGAGGUAAGGAGUUCUGCUGUUGUGUUGAUCUAGAUCGUUGUUCGCUGAAGAUUUCAGCUUCUUUUCAUUCUGAUCUGUUGAACAGAUAAGUUGAAAAGACGCUGGAUUCAAUGCUGCCCUGGAGACAGGGCUGUUUGAAUGUCAGCAGAACCUUGACAACUGCAUAGUUGAAGUCUGGAAAUAAAGCAUCUCAUGGAUGCUUGAUUCAGAUCUUGAGUCGUGACCAGUAAUGGUAACGGUUCAAGGUAAGAAUCAAGAAAAUUCUAUUGAGUUUUUAGAGCCGAGAGCCUCCAGUUUUCUUCUCUAUCCGCCGAGGGUAGAGGAGUUUGAUCCUGGCAUUCAAACCGUAAUAGAGAGUCUGAGCAAUCGGGCUCAAAAUUGUAGGUGAAUCCAGAGAGAA